rnacentral:sRNA from 1 species
GCUGGGUGUAGUGGCAUGCAUCUGUAGCUCCAGCUAUUUGGGAGGCUGAGGCAGGAGGAUGGCUUGAGCCCAGGAGUUCAAGACCAGCUUGGGAAACAUAUCUUUUCUUCAUCAU